ACGGAUUUUCGGGACUUUUUAGGCAACCCUGCACGACUUUGCUAUUUGAGAAGUGGCAGCACUGCCCAUCACACAGUCGAGUGCCAGAUUUAGGCCGAGGAGGUUUAGAGACACGUGACGGGAGACAGGGUUUCCCCGAAAAUCGUGCAGUUUGAGCAACUUGUGAUGGUGAUAGAAGGAAACAAUGGCGUCUUUGGUAUUCCGUGCUACGUAAACCACCUGAACACGCGAACACAUGGUAAAACAGUUAAUCAAACAUCAAGCCAAGCAUAGCAUUUCCGAAACCGCAAUCGAAGAAAACUGCAGUGCAGCCAAGCAGAAGAAUACAAUGGAAUCUUUGAUUCUAGGAUAAGGCGGAGUCCAUCGCUAAAAUGGGAAGUUAAGAGGUUCGAACAGCUGAGUGACUUGACGACAUCGAUGCCUUGAACGACAUCACCGAACAGCAGCGAUUUCUUUGAUUUGUAGGCACCUGGUACCAUGUCAUGAAGGAAGAAGACAAAUUGCCAUCCCUUGACGCGGCUUUCGCUCCUACCAGCACCAGCCUCGAUGCCGGUAAUGCCCACCUGACAAGCCUUUUGGGCAUAAUUGUCAGAAUCCAGCCAAAUGCGCAAUGCGCCGGCCAAUUUUUCUUGGAUGAUCAUAGCAGAAAGUUCCCAAAUCUUGAACGAAUUUGGCGCUAGCAAAACGCGACGAAGGUUUGAUGUGAAUCUGUCCCAGCAGGCGGCCUCUCUUUAUGACCGUAAGAAGAAAAAUGGAAUUGGCGAUAUCAAACCUUUGGGGCGCCGGUGUGACGGGGAAAAUUCCAGAACUCGGCUAGGUCAUCCAUCAGAUUUAUUUCUUCUUCAUCCGACUGUACAAGAUCUUCCCUUUGCAUUCUAUUGGAGAAAUAUUCAUCUCUAAAUCUAUCCAGCAAACUACCAAGGACGUCACUGUCAACGUCUACACGGGGGAAUAGCAAUCGUGGGCCCAGGAAAUACCGAUGGGCAAUGGUUAGUUCGGCGUAUUGGACAAUUUUCAAAAGGAACUGCAGUCCAGGUCGAGGAUCUAUCACAUCUUCCGUAAAGGUGUCUCCUUCUGCGCAGUGGACAGCCUGGAAGAAACGCUCGAAGCAAUCCAUGAAGACGGCAGUUUGAUUUACCAUCUGACGAGGAUCCAAUUUCAAAAUGUGCUGGUGGAAAAUGCACUGGAUGGCUUUUGGAUGCAUCAUGGACAUUUCAGCAAUUUUGGCAAACCAUUCGAAACAAAUGGCCGGAUCUAAAUCGGAAAUUGUUCUGUCCAUCAAGCAAAACCAGACGGACGUGGCUGCAAUUUCAUCCAUGCACAUUUCGCCAUACUUGAGGAAUACUCCGAGAAAGGCCAGUCUUUCUUUGACAGCUGCAAUGUGGAUAUUAUCAUUGGCUGCGGAUUGACAUUCCAUCACUGUAGGAAAACGAGAUCGUUGAACUCGCUGGCGUUGUGGUAGUAAUUAUUUGAUGCGGCUUUUUUGACAGCAAACAGGUAGCAGAGAUGACGCAGCAGUUUCAUGGCUGCCAACGCCAGUCGUUGCUCUGGCUGGGUUUGGAUAGUCUGAGCCAGGAAUCGAUUAAUUCAUCCGCUGUGUCGGCGCAAAACACAAAGCCCGCUACCACAUCCAUUACCUAUUUUUCAGGGAAUGGGCUUUAAUAAUAUUGGAUUUACCAACGUGAAAAAGUAGUCGCUGGGUGUUAUCGGACAGGAACCAACGAGCCUAGAUGUGCAAUAGAUACAACAACAAAAAAAUGUGAGAAUCUAAGAAAUGAGGACGCAAUUGUUACAUACCUGUACAUCACUGAUAAGUAUAGGAACAACGUUUUGGAGAGGGUAGUCAAUUGUGGACAUUGACGAUGACGCAAUUUCUCGGUCAACUUGAUGAUGUGCAAGACCUGCUGACUGGUUGGCAAUUUCUCAACUCCUUGGUCGCAACGGUCACAAUGGCGACAACAGGGACAUGAUACUAAUCCAUUCCUAUAGAUUUUCUGUUAUUACAAGAAGAAUAGGUGGUGUGACCGCAAGACAAUAUUUUCGGUUUGUUUUCUUCAUCGUCAAACUUGACAUAACAAACGGGGCAGGUGUCACAAAACAAACUGUGAAAUCGUAGGCGGUUUGAAUGAAUCUAGAACAUAAAAACAAGACAAGGACGAGAUCGUUAUCUUGAUUCUACGGAACUGAUAUAACUAUGAUUGAGGAGGGUUCUAUUGCACAUACUUACCUACCCGAGUUAGGAGCUACUUGGCUUUUUUUAAAAAAUCACAUUAAUGUCCUAAGGCACCUGUCUUGUCAUCUCUAAUUGCUUCACUCUGAAGUUUGCCACUCGUUUUCGUUAUGCCCGGUCGUGUGGACGUUACGGUAAUGUCUGGCGAUAUCGACUUCCGGAAAAAAAGUGGCUGAUAAACUUGUUUAUCGCAUUCCACAUUUAGGAUUGCCCCCGAAAAGUGAAGAACCAAAAUAACGACGCGCCCUUCAGAUUCCACAACGGAUGGAGAUUUUCGUUAAAAGACACCAGCCAAGGCGUUCAUCUGUUUGCCGACGAGUUCACCUGUUUGCCGACGAGUUCACCUGUCUUUGAUCGCUUACCGCCGUUUUUCAUUUUCGUACUGGACGUAAAUGUUGCUGAUGUCCUCUGGAUUAGUGGCGUAAACUGGAAGAAAAUGUUUGCGCAUCGAUCUCACCAGCUUCAACACGAAAUGGAACAUGCGGGGUAAUUCGAUCUGCUGACAUCACCGCCGUCAACAGCGUGAUGAGCAACGACGGGAUCAUAUUCUCUUGAAUUUAAAAUGCCUGGGGAAGCGACGUAAUGCAACGGAAUCCACUGAUG
rnacentral:lncRNA from 1 species